rnacentral:rRNA from 1 species
AUUGAACGCUGGCGGCAGGCCUAACACAUGCAAGUCGAACGGAGCGUCGGACGGGUGGGUACUGCCUAGGAAUCUGCCUGGUCGAGGGGGAUAGCGUCCUGCAACGGACGCUACUACCGCCUACUAUCCGAUGGACAUGGGUAGGAUUCGCUAGUUGGUGGGGGAAAGGCAUACCAAGGCGACGAUCCGUAACUGGUCUGAGAGGAUGAUCAGUCACACUGGAACUGAGACACGGCCCAGACUCCUACGGGAGGCAGCAGUGGGGAAUAUUGGACAAUGGGCGAAAGCCUGAUCCAGCCAUGCCGCGUGUGUGAAGAAGGUCUUCGGAUUGUAAAGCACUUUAAGUUGGGAGGCGUUACCAACAGAAUAAGCAACGGCUAACUUCGUGCCAGCAGCCGCGGUAAUUC